UGCCUGUGGCCCCCCGGGUGCUUCCCCAGUGGAGGCACGGGGCUUGCAGGAGCCUUUGCCAGCUCGGGGCGCUCCUCAGAUGCAAGCAGCGAUUUUGGCUCCGAAGCAGCAAAAAUGGCCGGGAUCAAAUACCGGCACGGGGCCGCUUUGAUCAGAGCGUUGCCACAGGGAGGGGAAAUUAAAAAUUCCUGCUUGCUUUUAAGCGCCCGUGCUGCGCCGCGAGCAUCCUGCUCCGGGCACUGGCUGGGAUGGGGCCACCAUGGGCCGGGCAGCGUGUCCCCGAGGGUGACACCGAGCAUCCCGGCAGGGCAGGGCGCUCACCACCCCUCGGUGCCUUCCGCAGGCAGGCUCAGCUUCGGGGAGCCGCUGCCUGGGGACGCCGAGCGCUGCGAGCUCCCGGCCCCGCUGGGAGGAAGCCGCCGACCUCCGGCUGUGGUCUGCGGGCUCGACCGCAGCCCCCGCCACUGCCUCCAGCGGGGUUAUCGUGCCCAAGCCUCCAGCUGGGGUGGCAUCGGGAUGGGACACGGGUGGGAGAAGCCAACAGCAGCUGGCACACGCUCCAUGCGCCUCGAGCUGGCCCCUCGCAGCCUGACCCCAAAGCCCAAACCCAACGGGGGAGCCCAAAACCCUAUUGGGGCGUCCAAAACCCAAUGGGGAGCCCCAAACCCUAUGGGGGUGUCCAAAGCUCAACGGGGAGCCCAAACGCAAUGGAGGAGUCCAAAACCCAACAGGGAUGUCCAAAAAUGAAGGGGGAGCCCAAAGCCCUAUGGGGGUGUCCAAAACCCAAGGGGGGCAUCCGAAACUCAACGGGGAGCCCAAAACCCUAUGGGGGCAUCCAAAACCCAACGGGGAGCCCAAACGCAAUGGGGGUGUCCAAAACCCAAGGAGGGCACCCAAAACCCAACGGGGGAGCCCCAAACCCUAUGGGGGCGUCCAAAAACCAACAGGGAGCCCAAAACCCUAUGGGGGCGUCCAAAACCCAACGGGGAGCCCAAACGCAAUGGGGGCAUCCAAAACCCAAUGGGGGAUUCCAAAACCCUAUUGAGGUGUCCAAAACCCAAGGGGGGCGUCCAAAACUCAACGGGGAGCCCAAGCGCAAACGGGGGCGCCCAAAACCCAAGGAGGGCACCCAAACCCCACCGGGGGAGCCCCAAACCCCAAGCGAGGACCCCGUUCCCGGUCCCCCUCCGCCUCCGCUCCCCCGCUCGCUCCCGCCCGGGCGCCGCCUCCCGCCGGUGCGGGCGCAGCCCAUGGGCGGAGCGGGGCCGGCGGGGCCGCUGCUGGCAGGGCGCUGGAAUGAUCCCUCCGGCGGGGCCGCCGCCGCCACCACCGCCGCAGC
rnacentral:lncRNA from 1 species